rnacentral:rRNA from 1 species
UACGAAGGGGGCUAGCGUUGCUCGGAAUUACUGGGCGUAAAGCGCACGUAGGCGGAUCCUUAAGUCGGUGGUGAAAUCCUGAAGCUCAACUUCAGAACUGCCUUCGAUACUGGGGACCUUGAGUUCGGGAGAGGUGAGUGGAACUGCGAGUGUAGAGGUGAAAUUCGUAGAUAUUCGCAAGAACACCAGUGGCGAAGGCGGCUCACUGGCCCGAUACUGACGCUGAGGUGCGAAAGCGUGGGGAGCGAACAGG